AGCCGGCCCUAAAACGAUUUGUUCUGUUCCUGCAGGUGCGCAACUACGUCACAAGAGUUUCAAGUGGUUCAUCGGACGUCGGAUGCUCUUUUGCACGGAUGGCUUCGACGGUGUGGCAGCUCUGCUGAAAAACGUGGAACUUUUCCAGUUCCUCUUGACUUCGGUUCGCGUCACAUGAUGGUGCUCUGAUCAACAAGCGCCGUCAUCGUCCCCAUAAAAACGCAUCGCUUGCAAGCAGCAAGCGCAGUUGGCGGCAAGUCCAGAGCCGGCCCUAAAACGAUUUGUUCUGUUCCUGCAGGGCACCAGGUCGUUCAUGGAAAUCAUGUAGCACUGACCAACUACUGGUUUCAGCACCACCAACCUGGAUGCCUGCACCUCCCACUUGGAGCAACACGCAUCUGGUCGAGGGCGACCUCUGCCAGGGCAAGGUCUUCCUCCUGCUGUUGCACGUGCAUGGCCAGGCGUUUCCCGGCGACGUCCUUG